rfam:Parcubacteria group bacterium CG2_30_36_38 cg2_3.0_scaffold_9129_c, whole genome shotgun sequence.
UGCGGGGUCUGCUAAUGGUAGGCAAGUGGCCCCUGGAGCCAUUAAUCUUGGUUCGAAUCCAAGCCCCGCAG